GACGAACGCUGGCGGCGUGCUUUAUACAUGCAAGUCGAACGAUGAAGUUCCUUCGGGAACGGAUUAGUGGCGAACGGGUGAGGAACACGUGAGAAACCUGCCUUUCAUUCUGGGAUAACACGGGGAAACCGGUGCUAAUACCGGAUACUCAGUCUUGGCGGCAUCGCCGAGACGGGAAAAAAAUUUGAUGAAAGAUGGUCCCGCGGCCUAUCAGCUAGUUGGUGAGGUAAAGGCUCACCAAGGCGACGACGGGUAGCCGGCCUGAGAGGGCGACCGGCCACACUGGGACUGAGACACGGCCCAGACUCCUACGGGAGGCAGCAGUAGGGAAUAUUGGGCAAUAGGCGCAAGCCUGACCCAGCGACGCCGCGUGAGGGAUGAAGGUCUUCGGAUUAUAAACCUCUUUCAGUAGGGAAGAAGCGAAAGUGACGGUACCUAAAGAAGAAGCACCGGCUAACUAUGUGCCAGCCGCCGCAGUAA
rnacentral:rRNA from 1 species